rnacentral:rRNA from 1 species
ACAAUGGAGGCAACUCUGAUCCAGCCAUGCCGCGUGCAGGAUGACUGCCCUAUGGGUUGUAAACUGCUUUUAUAUAGGAAGAAACAUUCCCACGUGUGGGGGCUUGACGGUACUAUAUGAAUAAGGAUCGGCUAACUCCGUGCCAGCCGCCGCGGUAAUACGGAGGAUCCAAGCGUUAUCCGGAAUCAUUGGGUUUAAAGGGUCCGCAGGCGGCCUGUUAAGUCAGAGGUGAAAGCCAACAGCUCAACUGUUGAACUGCCUUUGAUACUGAUAGGCUUGAGUUAUUGUGAAGUGGUUAGAAUGUGUGGUGUAGCGGUGAAAUGCUUAGAUAUCACACAGAAUACCCAUUGCGAAGGCAGAUCACUAACAAUAUACUGACGCUCAUGGACGAAAGCGUGGGGAGCGAACGGGAUUAGAUACCCCGGUAGUCCACGCCGUAAACGAUGGAUACUAACUGUUCGACCUUCGGGUUGAGUGGCCAAGCGAAAGUGAUAAGUUCCCACCUGGGAUUCCCCCCCU